rnacentral:rRNA from 1 species
AUUGAACGCUGGCGGCAGGCCUAACACAUGCAAGUCGGACGGUAGCACAGAGGAGCUUGCUCCUUGGGUGACGAGUGCCGGACGGGUGAGUAAUGUCUGGGGAUCUGCCCGAUAGAGGGGGAUAACCACUGGAAACGGUGGCUAAUACCGCAUAACGUCGCAAGACCAAAGAGGGGGACCUUCGGGCCUCUCACUAUCGGAUGAACCCAGAUGGGAUUAGCUAGUAGGCGGGGUAAUGGCCCACCUAGGCGACGAUCCCUAGCUGGUCUGAGAGGAUGAACAGCCACACUGGAACUGAGACACGGUCCAGACUCCGACGGGAGGCAGCAGUGGGGAAUAUUGCACAAUGGGCGCAAGCCUGAUGCAGCCAUGCCGCGUGUAUGAAGAAGGCCUUCGGGUUGUAAAGUACUUUCAGCGGGGAGGAAGGCGAUGCGGUUAAUAACCGCAUCGAUUGACGUUACCCGCAGAAGAAGCACCGGCUAACUCCGUGCCAGCCGCCGCCGUAA